GAUGAACGCUGGCGGCGUGCCUAAUACAUGCAAGUCGAGCGAACAGACGAGGAGCUUGCUCCUCUGACGUUAGCGGCGGACGGGUGAGUAACACGUGGAUAACCUACCUAUAAGACUGGGAUAACUUCGGGAAACCGGCGCUAAUACCGGAUAAUAUAUUGAACCGCAUGGUUCAAUAGUGAAAGACGGUUUUGCUGUCACUUAUAGAUGGAUCCGCGCCGCAUUAGCUGGUUGGUAAGGUAACGGCUUACCAAGGCAACGAUGCGUAGCCGACCUGAGAGAGUGAUCGGCGGCAUGGGAGGGGAGACACGGACAAGACGCCUGCGGGAGGGAGCAGUAGGGAAUGGGCGGCAGUGGGCGGAAGUCUUGCGGAGUGGCGGGGCGUGAGAGAUGACGGUCUUGGGAUCGUGAAAAUGUGUUUUGAGGGGAGAACAAAUGUGUAAGGAACUAUGCACGUAGUGACGGUACCGAGUCAGAAAGCCACGGCUAACUACGUG
rnacentral:rRNA from 1 species